CGCCCAGCGCCCUCUGGUCCGCCGGCCUCGAUCCCUGCCGCAGUGUGGCUGCUCUGCUCGGUAUGCAGUUGUGGCUCCGGCGACCUCGCGUUUGAUUCCAACCGGAGUUGCGGGCAGACCACAUGUCGUCAGGCACAUAGGCCAUAGAUGGCCACCAGCGACCAAACCAAUCAACUAGGUGCCAAUACGGGAACUAGCGACCGAGCCAAUAAUCAACCAGGUCACUAACGUUUGGCACAUUCAUUUGUAUCAAGUGUUCUGUGGCUCAUAGAAGCCUCGGGGUGCAUAUUUCCAAGGAGGACUAAGAUGUGUUAAGAAUCCGACACUUUACUCAGCAUCGAUUAUGUCCAUUAGUGUUGGUGAUCGCAGGCGUGUUAUUGUUGUUGCUA